UCUGUGCUUAUCGUUCAAGUUCCGAUCAUACUUUAUGUAUCAGUUUACUUAGUAGCAUAAACUAUUGUAUAUACAUGUACAUACUGAGGUAAAUAGUUUAAAAUCAGGAUAAAGAAGUAUAGUUAAAACUGCUGUACACGUGGGUUCAUAUCCGGAAAAGAAUAAUAAACAAUCAAGUGGCGAUUUCAUCAUGUUCAACACUGAUAUUAACGUAUUUCACAAAUACGAGGAAAGGGCAUAAAGAAGUUUGAACAACCACUUUACUAUUCGCCAGUCAUCCUUGAAUUUCACCUUUAUCCUUUACGGAUGACUGCAAUAGUUCAUAAUCACUCACAAACGAAUAACUAAAAAAAUAGAAGUUAACAUAUUUAUUUUAUAAUACCUCAGAACGAAGUAGAAUUGUGAUUAAUCAACAUUGAUGUGUGAAUUGGUAUCAACAGUAGCCAGCGACGAUUGAAUGAAAGCUUGUGUUAUAUUUUCCAUACAGUGGCCGAUUGAAACUGGAUGACCGUCGCUGACUUAAAUAAAUGGUCAGAGUCAUUAAGCUGUAAGGUAUAUAAACAAAAAUAGCAGCUUUGAGUGCGGUUAAACAGUGUCUGUAUUUCCGAUAUAAUAUGGUUCGCGUACAGCUAAAGCGCACCCUGACGUUAUGCUCAGUGAUAUCGAAGGAUUAAAUGUUAAACGCUGUGCAUUCGAAACCGAUGAUACAUCAAGAAAAAGGUUAUUUCACGAGUGAAAUUGAAGAUGUUGAAUUGUGGGUGAUACACGAGACGUACAAAAUUGUUACUGGAUUUUUAUACGAAAUUUUUUGGAUUACAGAAGUUCGCUGUAUUGGUGAAUCACUUUCCGCGUACUCAGUGUAAUUUAUUACGUGAAUAAAAUCGUCGUCUGAUAUAUCCGGAAGUUAAUUACUGGCUAAAAGCCCUGUCGGAGGGUUGUUAAAGAUUUAAACUUACCGAAGACAGAAACGCUUAUUUCUGAGCUUUUAGGGACCUACCAAGUUUAAUUCUAAAUCUUGCCGAGGCGAACUAGUGCGUUGGAAAUUGUUUUCUUUAGGGAUUACAUGUAUGUGCUUAAAAGUGGAUUACGGCUUUUGAAAUGAUGUUAUCUCACGGAAUAAAGACCUCUCGGGAAUACGAAUUCACGCCCAUAGCGCGUUCUUAGCAAUGACCGGUGCGAUUAGUACUGGACCUACUCGUGUGGAUUCUUAAUGGAUGACAAGACAUUCUUAAUCUACAGAAGUAAAACCUGAGACUUUAAG